GACGAACGCUGGCGGCGUGCUUAACACAUGCAAGUCGAACGAUGAAGAAAAGAAUUGAAGCUUCGGCAGAAAUUCAUUUCGGAUUAGUGGCAGACGGGUGAGUAACGCGUGAGCAACCUACCUCUUACAAAGGGAUAGCCUCGGGAAACCGGGAUUAAUACCAUAUAACAUUGCGACGAAGCAUUUCGAUGCAAUCAAAGCUACGGCGGUAAGAGAUGGGCUCGCGUCCCAUUAACCAGAUGGUGAGGUAACGGCUCACCAUAGUAACGAUGGGUAACCGGCCUGGGAGGGUGAACGGUCACACUGGAACUGAGACACGGUCCAGACUCCUACGGGAGGCAGCAGUGGGGAAUAUUGCACAAUGGAGGGAACUCUGAUGCAGCGACGCCGCGUGAGUGAUGAAGGAAUUCGUUUCGUAAAACUCUGUUCUAUGGGAAGAAAAGGACUGUACCAUAGGAGAAAGCUCCGGCUAAAUACGUG
rnacentral:rRNA from 1 species